UUUCCCUUGCGAUUUGGGUGAGGUGGGCGGUGGGCCGGCGGUGCUGGGCGUGAGAUGGGGUGGCGCGCAUGCCUGUGGGCCGCUGAGAGUUCUCUGUUGCGGCAGCGAGGGAGAUCGGCUGGGGCGGUGUGUCACGGUGGCGGGGGAGGCUGCUUGGUCGGCUGUUGUGGAUUCACUUCUCGGGCUCUCUCUCAGAGGUCGCGUCUGUUGGUGAUGGUUUGUGGAAGGAGGGUUUCCGGCGGGCGGGCGGCGGGCGCUGUCCAGCGGGGUCCUUCGUCGCCGAUCCGCGGGUUUUCCGCCGUUGCCCCGCUCUGCUCCGGCUUCUCCUUCACCUGUUGCACUUCCUUGCCCCGUCCAGAUUAGGUGGUCGGAAACUGCAGCCUUCAGCCGUCCCUGCAGCUGCCCAGCGUUACCCUCGGACGCCGCCGACACGUUCCUGGGCACACUGUCGGCGCCCAUCCCAGACGAACUCCACUUCACAUUGAAUCUGAACCCGUGAUGCCCCCUCCCAGCCGUCCCUUACCCCCUUGCGCCCCUACACCUGUACAGGGCUGGGUUCCGUUGGAAGUCAUCUGCAAGUGUGCCACCUCUCAUGAUGGAUUCUUCUCGUGGUGGGGAUUCGGUCUGAAGGUGGAAGCAUUGCUCCAGAGUCACUCAAAGUCUCAGAAAAUUUGGCAACAAAUAAAUUUGAGGAAAGAAUACGAACACCAUUUUUGUCGUUGCACACCUGGACUCUCAUGGAUAUCUGGGAAUGAGCACUUCCUAUUCGAAAUUUACUUGCAGAAUCAAUUCAUUGGUAUGUAAUUUUUGCUGCAGCAAUAUGAGCAAAUAUUAUAUUCUUUGGGAUAGUUGCUGAUGUUUUUUCUUCACAUGAAAAGCUUAGUAAUGAUGUAAGGUAGGGUUCCCAUGUCACUUGUUAAAUAAACGAUUCAGUUUCAGCUAGACUAUUCUUUGCUACAUCACACUUAUACUUCCG